rnacentral:tRNA from 1 species
GGGAUAGCCACGGUGGCUAGACGGUCUCAUGAGCCGUUUGUAGCGGGUUCGACUCCCGCCCCUAGCACCA